CUGCUGCCUUCCGUAGGAGUCUGGGCCGUGUCUCAGUCCCAGUGUGGGGGGCCUUCCUCUCAGAACCCCUACGCAUCGUCGCCACGGUGGGCCGCCACCCCGCCGUCUAGCUAAUGCGCCGCAUGCCCAUCCGCCACCGGAUCGCUCCUUUGGCCACCGGAGGAUGCCCUCCGGUGGCGUCACGGGGUAUUAGGCCGCGUUUCCGCGGGUUAUCCCCCUGUGGCGGCCAGGUUGCAUACGUGUUACUCACCCGUGCGCCGGUCGCCGG
rnacentral:rRNA from 1 species